CCGCUCCGCCAUCGCGCCGCUGGGACUACAACUCCCGGCGUGCCCCAGGGCAGCGGCGCACGGAGCGCGCUGAUUGGCCCGCGGGGGCAGCGCGGGCGCCCCCACGUGGCGGCUCGGCGGGGCCGGGACCCCCUGGGAUAACCCGGGACAAGCCGGGACAAGCCGGGACAAGCCGGGACAAACCGAAACAGCUGGGCUGCCCCCCGCUGCCGUGCCACGGGCCUCGCCCGGGCUACCUUGAGGGACCCCGUGCUGAGUCUGGUGGCUGGGAACGGGGCCAGCUGCUGCGAUCCUCCCCUCCCCUCCCCUGGAAAUGCCUCAAAGACCAGCAAAUUUGUGGUAUGGUGUGCUCGGUCCUGUGCUGGCCAAUGUUUGGUAAUUAGCAUGUGAAAACCCAAUUUGAUUUGACCAGUGUGUCCUGGAGUUGCAGCUCCUUUCGUCCAUCCUGCCAUCCCACUCUUCUGUGCUCUCAACAGAAGCAUGAAAAGCUUGUGCCAGGCAGCACAGACCUGGGCAAUGCACCUGUGCACAGUGCCACAUGUGUCCCUGUCCCCCAACACAGCCUGGCAAAUGCUGUGACAUCAAUGGCAAGGUAGCUAAACAUCAGCCAACACCUGCAGAGAAUGGGGGUCACAGGUCUCUUGUGAGGAUGUGCUGGAACACGAUGGGAAUGUUAACAAAGUUCCUGGAAUCUUCAUGGAGAGGAACUGUAAAGGACAGCAUCCCUCACAGAGCAACUGAACUGAAAUUACAGGUGAUUAACCUUUCAUUUAUUCCCUGAUUUAUGGUAUAACACAAGUUUUUGGAAGUGAAAUAAAGAUGCUUUUUAAAUGAA